UCACACCCCAAACAUUGCAUUUUCAUUUAUAUAUACAUACCUGAUAUCCGUUAAUCGAAGAUAGAGUUUCGGACUCAGAGGUAAAUACUCCCAACAACUUCAGUUAAACCGCUUACUUGUUUAUAUGUAUAUAUAUCUAUUUAAGUAUAUAUAAUCUCUUUUUGUAGUUUGUGCCAUCCAUUAUUAACCUUACUUCCCUUGAACUUUUCAGGGCUUGACAAAACCCCCUUCUCUCUUUCUCGAUUUUGCUCCAUCUUGUAUUCUAUAUAGGCUUUUUGAACUGCCUGGUGGAAAUGGGCAAAAGACAUGAUCAUCAAAUACUACUUGUAGUGGCGCUGCGGUUACUCCUGCUGCUCAUCUUUCUGGUCGGCCAUACUCAGAGCUCAAGAACAUUGCAGAGUCAAGUUUUCAAGGUAAUGAAGCCCAACUCUGAUCACAAUCCACAUGAGGGUAGCUUUUUUGCAUUCUUACCAAAAGCUUCGCCAAUCCCUCCAUCUGGACCUUCCAAGGAGCACAAUGGUGUUGGGUUACAAAGCUCAUCACAGCUCUCACCUUGAAGACACACAUAUAUAUAAUAUAUAAUCUUUCUACAGACAAAGGUAGAUGUAGCUGCUCAUAUUUCUUCUUCAACUCACAGAACCAAUAUUGGUCAUGG
rnacentral:lncRNA from 1 species